rnacentral:rRNA from 1 species
AUCAGGUAGGACUACCCGCUGA